AUUGAACGCUGGCGGCAGGCUUAACACAUGCAAGUCGAGCGAGCGGCGGACGGGUGAGUAAUGUCUGUGAAACUGCCUGAUGGAGGGGGAUAACAACUGGAUACGGUAGCUAAUACCGCAUACCAUCAGAUGUGCCCAGAUGGGAUUACCUAGUUGGUGGGGUAAUGGCUCACCUAGGCGACGAUCCCUAGCUGGUCUGAGAGCAUGACCAGCCAAACUGGAACUGUGCCCCGGUCCAGACUCCUACGGGUGGCAGCAGUGGGGAAUAUGGCUAAAUGGGCGCGAGCCUGAUGCAGCCAGGCCGCGUGUGUGAAGAAGGCCUUCGGGUUGUAAAGCACUUUCAGCGAGGAGGCGUUACUCGCAGAAGAAGCACCGGCUAACUCCGUGCCAGCAGCCGCGGUAAUUC
rnacentral:rRNA from 1 species